GUGAAUCUAGGACGUCCAACUUAACUUGGAGUCCGAACUCUCACUUUCUAACCCUGUGCAUCUGUUUUAAAAUUGGCUAGUAGCUCUUCGGAGCGAACCACCAUUUUUCACUUAUACAAACACAAAGUCUAUGAAUGUAAACAAAUUUAUAACAAAACA
rnacentral:misc_RNA from 1 species